rnacentral:rRNA from 1 species
ACGCUCGACACCUACGGGAGGCAGCAGUGGGGAAUAUUGCACAAUGGGGGAAACCCGUGAUGCAGCGACGCCGCGUGAAGGAAGAAGUAUCUCGGUAUGUAAACUUCUAUCAGCAGGGAAGAAAGUGACGGUACCUGACUAAGAAGCCCCGGCUAACUACGUACCAGCAGUUGCGGUAAUCUGAGGCGGGCUGGCAAGGC